UACGUAGGGUGCAAGCGUUGUCCGGAAUUAUUGGGGCGUAAAGGGCUCGUAGGCGGUCCAUCACGUCGGGAGUGAAAAGCUGGGGCUUAACCCCAGUCCUGCUUCCGAUACGGGUGGACUAGAGGUAGGCAGGGGAGAACGGAAUUCCUGGUGUAGCGGUGAAAUGCGCAGAUAUCAGGAGGAACACCGGUGGCGAAGGCGGUUCUCUGGGCCGAUACUGACGCUGAGGAGCGAAAGCGUGGGGAGCGAACAGG
rnacentral:rRNA from 1 species